UCCUGACUGACCGAUAGUGAACCAGUACCGUGAGGGAAAGGCGAAAAGAACCCCGGCGAGGGGAGUGAAAAAGAACCUGAAACCGUGUACGUACAAGCAGUGGGAGCACGCUUAGGCGUGUGACUGCGUACCUUUUGUAUAAUGGGUCAGCGACUUAUAUUCUGUAGCAAGGUUAACCGAAUAGGGGAGCCGAAGGGAAACCGAGUCUUAACUGGGCGUUAAGUUGCAGGGUAUAGACCCGAAACCCGGUGAUCUAGCCAUGGGCAGGUUGAAGGUUGGGUAACACUAACUGGAGGACCGAACCGACUAAUGUUGAAAAAUUAGCGGAUGACUUGUGGCUGGGGGUGAAAGGCCAAUCAAACCGGGAGAUAGCUGGUUCUCCCCGAAAGCUAUUUAGGUAGCGCCUCGUGAAUUCAUCUCCGGGGGUAGAGCACUGUUUCGGCAAGGGGGUCAUCCCGACUUACCAACCCGAUGCAAACUGCGAAUACCGGAGAAUGUUAUCACGGGAGACACACGGCGGGUGCUAACGUCCGUCGUGAAGAGGGAAACAACCCAGACCGCCAGCUAAGGUCCCAAAGUCAUGGUUAAGUGGGAAACGAUGUGGGAAGGCCCAGACAGCCAGGAUGUUGGCUUAGAAGCAGCCAUCAUUUAAAGAAAGCGUAAUAGCUCACUGGUCGAGUCGGCCUGCGCGGAAGAUGUAACGGGGCUAAACCAUGCACCGAAGCUGCGGCAGCGACGCUUAUGCGUUGUUGGGUAGGGGAGCGUUCUGUAAGCCUGCGAAGGUGUGCUGUGAGGCAUGCUGGAGGUAUCAGAAGUGCGAAUGCUGACAUAAGUAACGAUAAAGCGGGUGAAAAGCCCGCUCGCCGGAAGACCAAGGGUUCCUGUCCAACGUUAAUCGGGGCAGGGUGAGUCGACCCCUAAGGCGAGGCCGAAAGGCGUAGUCGAUGGGAAACAGGUUAAUAUUCCUGUACUUGGUGUUACUGCGAAGGGGGGACGGAGAAGGCUAUGUUGGCCGGGCGACGGUUGUCCCGGUUUAAGCGUGUAGGCUGGUUUUCCAGGCAAAUCCGGAAAAUCAAGGCUGAGGCGUGAUGACGAGGCACUACGGUGCUGAAGCAACAAAUGCCCUGCUUCCAGGAAAAGCCUCUAAGCAUCAGGUAACAUCAAAUCGUACCCCAAACCGACACAGGUGGUCAGGUAGAGAAUACCAAGGCGCUUGAGAGAACUCGGGUGAAGGAACUAGGCAAAAUGGUGCCGUAACUUCGGGAGAAGGCACGCUGAUAUGUAGGUGAAGUCCCUCGCGGAUGGAGCUGAAAUCAGUCGAAGAUACCAGCUGGCUGCAACUGUUUAUUAAAAACACAGCACUGUGCAAACACGAAAGUGGACGUAUACGGUGUGACGCCUGCCCGGUGCCGGAAGGUUAAUUGAUGGGGUCAGCGCAAGCGAAGCUCUUGAUCGAAGCCCCGGUAAACGGCGGCCGUAACUAUAACGGUCCUAAGGUAGCGAAAUUCCUUGUCGGGUAAGUUCCGACCUGCACGAAUGGCGUAAUGAUGGCCAGGCUGUCUCCACCCGAGACUCAGUGAAAUUGAACUCGCUGUGAAGAUGCAGUGUACCCGCGGCAAGACGGAAAGACCCCGUGAACCUUUACUAUAGCUUGACACUGAACAUUGAGCCUUGAUGUGUAGGAUAGGUGGGAGGCUUUGAAGUG
rnacentral:rRNA from 1 species